GACGAACGCUGGCGGCGUGCUUAACACAUGCAAGUCGUACGGUAAGGCCCUUUCGGGGGUACACGAGUGGCGCACGGGUGAGUAACACGUGAGUAACCUGCCCACAACUUUGGGAUAACGCUAGGAAACUGGUGCUAAUACUGGAUAUGUGCCCCUGCUGCAUGGUGGGGGUUGGAAAGCUCCGGCGGUUGUGGAUGGACUCGCGGCCUAUCAGCUUGUUGGUGGGGUAGUGGCCUACCAAGGCGGCGGCGGGUAGCCGGCCUGAGGGGGUGACCGGCCACAGUGGGACUGAGAUACGGCCCAGACUCCUACGGGAGGCAGCAGGGGGGAAUAUUGCACAAUGGGCGCAAGCCUGAUGCAGCAACGCCGCGUGCGGGAUGACGGCCUUCGGGUUGUAAACCGCGUUCAGCAGGGACGAAGCUUUUUGUGACGGUACCUGCAGAAGAAGCACCGGCUAACUACGUG
rnacentral:rRNA from 1 species